UACUCCUACGGGAGGCAGCAGUAAGGAAUAUUGGUCAAUGGGCGGAAGCCUGAACCAGCCAUGCCGCGUGCAGGAUGACUGCCCUAUGGGUUGUAAACUGCUUUUGUCCAGGAAUAAACCUCUUUACGUGUAGAGAGCUGAAUGUACCUGA
rnacentral:rRNA from 1 species